UUAUUCUUAUAAUAAUCAAGACAUGGCUCUCCUUAUAGUCUACCUUCAAAUAAUAAUGAACAAAUAAUAAUAUGUUUAUUUGAUGAGCCCAAUCCAUCAAAUAGUAAUGAAAGACAAAUGUUUUCAAUUACAUUUGACGUCAUCUGCUACUUAUUAUUCAUAAAUAUAUUUUUUAUCUCUUUUAUUUUAUUCCAAUAGCUCAAUCAAAAUGCCUUUAAAAAUACUACAUAAAUAAUAUCGUGUUUGAUUGAUGGGUCUAAUCCAUAAAUGAAAAUAUUAUUUACUGGAUAAAGUAAUGUAUUUUAAAAGACUAUCAAUUGAUAUUAGAUGGACCAAAUGUGUAAUAUUUUUCCACAAAAAAUGUAACCUAUAUAAAUCCCUAACAAAUUGUGAUAUAUUUAAUAAUAUCUACAUAAAUUUUUAGAAAAAGUUAUUAAUCCUGAUGUUUAAUAUGAAAUUUCUAAAGCACAAUUAAGCAUGUAUAUUUUUCAAUAAUACACUUUGAUAACUACAAUGUUCAAAAAAUGUAAUGAAACUAAUAAUUAGAUUAAACAAAUUUAAUUG
rnacentral:lncRNA from 1 species